rnacentral:rRNA from 1 species
CAGCAGCCACGGGAAAACGAAGGGGGCUAGCGUUGUUCGGAAUUACUGGGCGUAAAGCGCACGUAGGCGGACUUUUAAGUCAGGGGUGAAAUCCCGGGGCUCAACCUCGGAACUGCCUUUGGUACUGGAAGUCUUGAGUGUGGAAGAGGUAAGUGGAAUUGCGAGUGUAGAGGUGAAAUUCGUAGAUAUUCGCAGGAACACCAGUGGCGAAGGCGGCUUACUGGUCCACAACUGACGCUGAGGUGCGAAAGCGUGGGGAGCAAACAGGAUUAGAUACCCCUGUAGUCCCUGUCUCUUAUAC